ACGGACGGACGGCCUCUUUAAUUCUGCCUUCCCAGGGACCCAGAUCCGGGGAUCACCACAGAGACCCGGGAGCCCUGCGGCCUGCCCUGCCACCUGAGCGAUGCCUACGGGGGUGGUCCAUGCGAGGAAGCGGCAUCCCUCCCAGGACAAGGGUGGCCCAAGGAGCACUGGACUCCAGCUUCUCUGGUGCUUCUUAACCACAGCCCUGCAGGGCCAUCGGCUGGAGGCCCAGGUGUGAGGAACCUCCUCACGCGGCUUUGCACCCGACUCCCUGUGGCUGGGUCGCAAUGGGAGAGGUCCUGAUGACUGGUCCAAGGAGGAGAGGGGUGACCGUCCCCCUGGUGCCUACAGCCUCCUUUCUCCUCUCCUCCUCGGCCUCCGCCAUCUCUGGCCUCUGAUCCUUGGCCUCAGAUUGACGCACAAGCUAAGAGGUCAGGGCCAGCUCUGCACAGGGACAGCUGGUUGACGGGGAAGCCAGGUGGGGCCUUCAGCCUCAAGGCUAAGGAGGCAGCCGCUGUCCGCUGGGCCUGAGGCUCACAGGGAAAGGGCAGGGCCUGGGACCCUCACCCGGAGGCCCAGCGCUGCCCACCUCUGACUUGCCCUGUGAUCUUUGGUAAGUGGCUUUCCUCUUGGACCUCAGUUGACCCAUCUGCCAAAUGGGCACCUGUUGCCUCCUCUGUUUCAAACGACUCCGCAGGUGGGAGCCGCCCAGAAGCUCUUGUGGAGAAGACUCACAGUUAGGAACCAGGAGGGGAGAAGGCCGGGAAGGGAGGAGAGGGUGCCCGGGAGGCGGCCAGAGGAGGGGGCUGGGCGCGGGGACAGAUGGAGGAGGCAGGUGAGAGAGUGUUAAGAAGGGGCGCCAGAUGGGAGCCAUCAAUCAGC
rnacentral:lncRNA from 1 species